GAUGAACGCUGGCGGCGUGCCUAAUACAUGCAAGUCGAGCGAACGGACGAGAAGCUUGCUUCUCUGAUGUUAGCGGCGGACGGGUGAGUAACACGUGGAUAACCUACCUAUAAGACUGGGAUAACUUCGGGAAACCGGAGCUAAUACCGGAUAAUAUUUUGAACCGCAUGGUUCAAAAGUGAAAGACGGUCUUGCUGUCACUUAUAGAUGGAUCCGCGCUGCAUUAGCUAGUUGGUAAGGUAACGGCUUACCAAGGCAACGAUGCAUAGCCGACCUGAGAGGGUGAUCGGCCACACUGGAACUGAGACACGGUCCAGACUCCUACGGGAGGCAGCAGUAGGGAAUCUUCCGCAAUGGGCGAAAGCCUGACGGAGCAACGCCGCGUGAGUGAUGAAGGUCUUCGGAUCGUAAAACUCUGUUAUUAGGAAAGAACAUAUGUGUAAGUAACUGUGCACAUCUUGACGGUACCCAAUCAGAAAGCCACGGCUAACUACGUG
rnacentral:rRNA from 1 species